rnacentral:misc_RNA from 1 species
UCCGAGUUGACCCCGGCAGUCUCCUGCGAGUCCCCACCAUUACGUGCUGGCAAGUAAGGACAAGGGUUGCGCUCGUUACGGGACUUAACCCAACAUCUCACGACACGAGCUGACGACAGCCAUGCAGCACCUGUCACCCGGUUCCCGAAGGCACUCCCGCAUCUCUGCAGGAUUCCGGGGAUGUCAAGACCUGGUAAGGUUCUUCGCGUUGCGUCGAAUUAAACCACAUGCUCCACCGCUUGUGCGGGCCCCCGUCAAUUCAUUUGAGUUUUAAUCUUGCGACCGUACUCCCCAGGCGGUCAACUUACCGCGUUUGCUGCGCCACUAAGGAGACUAAGCUCCCCAACGGCUAGUUGACAUCGUUUACCGCGUGGACUAC